rnacentral:lncRNA from 1 species
AUUUAGCUUAGAUUCUAUUUGCUUAAGAUAAUUAUCAAUAAGAUAUACAAGUUGAGUUUUAAUCAAAUUAUCUUAAAUAGUUGUUUCUAUCAAAAAUUUUGAUUAUGAUUUAGUUUUCAACGCUAAUAAUCAUGUUUCAGAGAGUUGAGCAAUCUUCUUUUAGAGCAAUUAGGAUUUUAUUUUGACUUAUGAGUGAUAGUUUAAAAGAAUUAAUAUUCAUGCUUUAAAAGAUUUUUAUGAUCAAGUUAAGCAUGACAUGUUACAAUUAAUCAGUAGAAUUUGAGAUAAUUUUAGAGAAAGAUAUUAAUCAUGGAUACAAUGAUUAUGCUUAAUGAAGUUUUAACAUGAAAGCAUGAAAUCAGCAUCAAUCAUUUAUACUAGAGAGAAAAUUUAGAUUUCGAAAACUUGAAGGAGAAAGUUAUACAUAUUCAUUCAUUGUUUUCUUAUCAUCAUGCAAGCACUAGAAAAUUUCAUGCUAAGAUCGUGUAGAUAAGAUUUGUCAUACAUACAAGGCAUUUAAUAAAUAUUCAAUAGCCUAAUUG